rnacentral:lncRNA from 1 species
AUGCUCAAAAUUCUCCAAGCCAGGCUUCAGCAAUACGUGAACCGUGAACUUCCUUAUGUUCAAGCUGGUUUUAGAAAAGGCAGAGGAACCAGAGAUCAAAUUGCCAACAUCCAAUGGAUCAUCAAAAAAGCAAGAGAGUUCCAGAAAAACAUCUAUUUCUGCUUUAUUGACUAUGCCAAAGCCUUUGACUGUGUGGAUCACACUAAACUGUGGAAAAUUCUGAAAGAGAUGGGAAUACCAGACCACCUGACCUGCCUCUUGAGAAAUCUGUAUGCAGGCCAGGAAGCAACAGUUAGAACUGGACAUGGAACAACAGACUUGUUCCAAAUGGGAAAAGGAGUACGUCAAGGCUGUAUAUUGUCACCCUGCUUAUUUAACUUAUAUGCAGAGUACAUCAUGAGAAAUGCUGGACUGGAAGAAACACAAGCUGGAAUCAAGAUUGCCGGGAGAAAUAUCAAUAACCUCAGAUAUGCAGAUGACACCACCCUUAUGGCAGAAAGUGAAGAGGAACUAAAAAGGCUCUUGAUGAAAGUGAAAGAGGAGAGUGGAAAAGUUGGCCUAAAGCUCAACAUUCAGAAAAUGAAGAUCAUGGCAUCCGGUCCCAUCACUUCAUGGCAAAUAGAUGGGAAAACAGUGGAAACAGUGUCAGACUUUAUUUUGGGGGGCUCCAAAAUCACUGCAGAUGGUGACUGCAGCCAUGAAAUUAAAAGACGCUUACUCCUUGGAAGAAAAGUUAUGACCAACCUAGAUAGCGCAUUCAAAAGCAGACACAUUACUUUGCCAACAAAGGUCCAUCUAGUCAAGGCUAUGGUUUUUCCUGUGGUCAUGUAUGGAUGUGAGAGUUGGACUGUGAAGAAAGCUGAGCGCCGAAGAAUUGAUACUUUUGAAGUGUGGUGUUGGAGAAGACUCUUGAGAGUCCCUUGGACUGCAAGGAGAUCCAACCAGUCCAUUCUGAAGGAGAUAAGCCCUGGGAUUUCUUUGGAAGGAAUGAUGCUAAAGCUGAAACUCCAGUACUUUGGCCACCUCAUGCGAAGAGUUGACUCAUUGGAAAAGACUCUGAUGCUGUGA